rnacentral:lncRNA from 1 species
GAGAACCAGAUCACAGAGCCAGAACAAGUGACCACAGAGGCUUCGACAACAUGCAGCGAAAGACUACCACAGAAGAACUGAGAGCUGUCACCUCACAGCAACCCAUGGUGACAGACUCAGAGUGGUUUGGUCUGAGUGCAGAGGAACAAUUGGCCUGGGCUAAGAGUACUAAAGAUCCUCGGAUUGCAGUAGGUUCCUGUUCCCCACUAGAAAAGAAAAUUAAGGUGGCACCCAUUCUUCAGGAGUGAGAAAACUGUUAGUCCAAAAGUUCCGACAGGAGAGUGAAAUGGUCGAGAAACUUAAGACCGUGUCUCCUGACUUCCGGUUUGCUCAAGCAGACGCCUACUACUAUCAACAGCAUCAGGAAAUGAUCAGAGAAGCAUGGAAUUAUAAACCAGAGGCAGAAUGGGACGCUAACCCAGAGGAAGAGAUGAAGCCAAAAAGCAAAAAACCAGAGAACUGUAAAAAAUGGGACUAUCUAGUACCCGAGAGGGAGCUGAAUCACAUAGAGAAACACAUCCACAGAGCUGAGCGGGCUAGAGGCCUUAGGGACCACAAAUACCGACUAAUUCCUCAGAACCUCUCAUGUGAAAUGCUUUCCCCCAAACCAUUCGUACCAGAGGGUGAGAAGGAAAAAACUAUCCCGAGACCACACAAAACUGUACCCCAAAAGCCUAAAAUGGCCUGGGCAAAGGAGCAGAUGAAGCAACAUAAAGACCG